GACGUAGGGCGCGAGCGUUGUCCGGAUUUAUUGGGCGUAAAGAGCUCGUAGGCGGCUUGUCGCGUCGACUGUGAAAACCCGCAGCUCAACUGUGGCUUGCAGCCGAUACGGGCGGGCUGGGAUUCGGUAGGGGGGAGCUGGAAUUCCUGGUGUAGCGGUGAAAUGCGCAGAUAUCAGGAGGAACACCGAUGGCGAAGGCAGGUCUCUGGGCAUUAACUGACGCUGGAGGAAGCGAAAGCAUGGGGAGCGAACAGG
rnacentral:rRNA from 1 species